AUGUCGAGGUCGAUCGAAGCCAAGCCAUACGAGACAAAAGACAAUGGAAUAAAACAGAGAACAGUCACUGGGCAACGCGGCUUCGACGCGCUUACAGUACGACGCGUUUGAGAGGCUCGGCGUCAAGCCCAGCACUCGGGAGUCAAGGAACGGUCCCUCCGGUCAUCCCUGCAGUAGUCGUACACCAUGUAGUUCCUCUGCGCCCAGGCCAUGGCGGCGAGCUGCUGCUUGCUGAGCCCGAAUCCGGACGGCGAGGACGGCACCGGGCGGCACCCCGACGGCGCGUACGCGGAGCAGCCUCGCACGACGAACCUGGUGAACCUGGCGACGAACGGCUGGUGGCGGUAGUCCACCCUGUGCUUGCCGUUGUCGGUGGCCCAGGACGACGCGUCCCAGAUCGUCCCGUACACCCACAUCGGCCGCAGCGGGAACGUGUCGUCGCUCCUCCUCGGGUACCGCCGUAUCGGAUAGCGUAGUGGUGGAAGUCAGCAGCAGGGUCAAACCACAGGUGGAACUUCAUCUCCCUCCCGAUGACCCGGCCGUCGCCGCUCCCCUUGACGUACACAUUCGUCUGCAACUUGUAUGGCCUCCCCGGAGUAGUCCCCAAGAACUCGAUAUCCACCUCGUCAUGGAACCCAGGAUGCACUUGGUUGUUCGACAGCUGAAGCACAAUGUCGAAUGAUGCACAAGCAAGCAAGCAAGACGGCAACGGGAGUUGGCCAAGAAAGAACUCACGUAGAAAGCUGUGAUCACUCCUGCAGUGUCGCCAGGUUGGAGCUUGAUCGAUGCCGCAAAAUAGCCGCUUCGAAAUGGGCGAUUCGACUUGAAUCCGCUGCCUGUUAUCGAUGCAGCAGAGGCAGGGUUAACAUGAGACUGAGAUGAACCGUGAGGGAGGAGGAGGAGCAGCAGACCUGAGCUCCUGUCGAGCCAGAUGGCCACCGAGGACUGGUCUGCUGAGACUGUUUGAUGCCGGGGCCCCCACAGAGUGUUGUAUCCAUGGUAGAAGCCAGGCAAAGGCUUGAACCUGCUGCUUAGGUAGUAGCCAGGGGAGGGCUGAGCACUGCUGCAUUGUAGUAUGGAGAGCAGAAUGGAGGAGAAGAGGAGGAGAGCCAUGGAGGGAGCUCAACCAGCUGUGACACUACAGGGAAGGAAGGUGAGUAUAAAUAGGAAGAUGGAAUGGUUACCAUCGCAAGAAAACUUGAGCGGUGGAUACCGAUAGGCAAAUUUAGAUGAAGAUAAGUCCCCCAAAAAAAGGAUUAGGUAGAAAUGAUACAAAAAGAGUAAUGAAAUCUAACUCUAUAGUAUAUCAAUUUAGUCAGCUAUGAAUCCACUCAAAUUUAUUUCACUUUCAAGAUGAGAACAAACUGAAACAGUGAGACUAUUCAUUAAUGUCUGACACUUAUGAUAGUUGGUAGAAUAUCUCAUUAAUGUAUCCCGUUCCUUUCUCACACUUUGUUUUUUCACCUUUUUUUUUUGCCAUCCGUUUAAUUUUUUGAUAUAUUAGUAAAAUAAUAACAAUGAUAAAACAUUCAUGUCUGGUUUGCUUGACCUAUCAGGUAGCCAUCCAACCACAUCUGUGCUUUUGCCCUCAUCCAUUGGGUGAUGAGAAGGUAGAUCCAGGCAUCCAAGUCAAUAUACAUACCUAAGCUGUAAGUGUUUUGUUAGCAUCCGAAAGUAAUCCACCGAAAGGUCCAAAAUAAUGGCAUGGGGACUCAAUUGCUGGAUUUAGGGCAGCAAUCUAACAGGCAACUCUGCAGCUGCUAGUUUCAUUAAUGUGAUAUGAAAGUGUGUGUGGAACAACAUGCAAGAACACCCAAUAUCCAUAAGAACUUUUUUGUGAAGUAUAAAAACGUGACUCCAAUUUACUUGCAAGA